rnacentral:rRNA from 1 species
GAUGAACGCUGGCGGCGUGCCUAACACAUGCAAGUCGAGCGAACAGACGAGGAGCUUGCUCCUCUGACGUUAGCGGCGGACGGGUGAGUAACACGUGGAUAACCUACCUAUAAGACUGGGAUAACUUCGGGAAACCGGAGCUAAUACCGGAUAAUAUAUUGAACCGCAUGGUUCAAUAGUGAAAGACGGCUUUGCUGUCACUUAUCGAUGGAUCCGCGCCGCAUUAGCUAGUUGGUAAGGUAACGGCUUACCAAGGCAACGAUGCGUAGCCGACCUGAGAGGGUGAUCGGCCACACUGGAACUGAGACACGGUCCAGACUCCUACGGGAGGCAGCAGUAGGGAAUCUUCCGCAAUGGGCGAAAGCCUGACGGAGCAACGCCGCGUGAGUGAUGAAGGUCUUCGGAUCGUAAAACUCUGUUAUUAGGGAAGAACAAAUGUGUAAGUAACUAUGCACGUCUUGACGGUACCUAAUCAGAAAGCCACGGCUAACUACGUG